rnacentral:rRNA from 1 species
AUGAGGCGGAUACGGAGCUCUUUGGUAGCUUCUCGCCCCGUGUUGGGUCUAGUUCGACGCCCCUUGUGUUGCCGGACUCCGUGGGUGAGGCAUCUGCCGAGGUUGUGUCUCCGGUGCUGCAGAUCAUGCCUGAGUUGCAGGUGUUGUGUGGGGAACAUGUUUCGCCUGUGUCGAUGGAGCAGCUCAAGUUGGGCUCUCUCCAGGCUUCGAAGGUGGACCAUGUGUCCUCACCACCCCCCGUGGAGCCUUGUCAGGCUUCGGAGGUGGACUUGGUGCCCUCACCACCACCCGUGGAGCCUUGUCAGGGGUCAGACAACCUAUCUCUCGGCGUGGAGCAUGGAGUUUUAG